UCUCCGUAGGUGAACCUGCGGAGGGAUCAUUACUGAGUGAGGGUCUUCCGACCCGACCUCCAACCCCAUGUAUUCCGACUCUGUUGCCUCGGGGGCGACCCUGCCUUCGGGCGUUGGGGCCCCCGGUGGACCACCCAACCCUGCAUCGUUGCGUCUGAGUCGAAAUAUAAAUCAAUCAAAACUUUCAACAACGGAUCUCUUGGUUCUGGCAUCGAUGAAGAACGCAGC
rnacentral:misc_RNA from 1 species